UAGGUAACCUGCCUCUAAGAUUGGGAUAACUUGUCGAAAGACGAGCUAAUACCAAAUAAGACCACGGUCUCCUCGGGGACAGAGGUCAAAGGUAGCCUCUAUUUAUAAGCUAUCGCUGAGAGAUGGGCCUGCGUACCAUUAGCUUGUUGGUGAGGUACGGCUCACCAAGGCAAAGAUGGUUAGCUGGUCUGAGAGGAUGAUCAGCCACACUGGAA
rnacentral:rRNA from 1 species